AACGAACGCUGGCGGCGUGGAUUAGGCAUGCAAGUCGUACGCGAAAGGUUCCUUCGGGGGCCGAGUAGAGUGGCGAACUGGUGAGUACAAGGUGACUAACCUGCCCUACAAGUGGGGGAUAACCAGCCGAAAGGCUGGCUAAUACCGCAUGGUCUCUUGCCCUUUCGGGGGUGCGAGUAAAGCAGUAAUGCGCUUGAGGA
rnacentral:rRNA from 1 species